UACGUAGGGGGCAAGCGUUGUCCGGAAUCAUUGGGCGUAAAGAGCGCGUAGGCGGUCCGGUAAGUCCGCUGUGAAAGUCAAGGGCUCAACCCUUGAAUGCCGGUGGAUACUGUCGGGCUAGAGUCCGGAAGAGGCGAGUGGAAUUCCUGGUGUAGCGGUGGAAUGCGCAGAUAUCAGGAGGAACACCAACGGCGAAGGCAGCUCGCUGGGACGGUACUGACACUAAGGCGCGAAAGCGUGGGGAGCGAACAGG
rnacentral:rRNA from 1 species